rnacentral:rRNA from 1 species
GUCCACGCCCUAAACGAUGUCGACUGGUUGUUGGGGGUUUGACACUCUCAGUAACGAAGCUAACGCGUGAAGUCGACCGCCUGGGUAGUACGGCCGCAAGGUUAAAACUCAAAGGAAUUGACGGGGACCCGCACAAGCGGUGGAUUAUGUGGAUUAAUUCGAUGCAACGCGAAAAACCUUACCUACCCUUGACAUGUCCUGAAGCCCGGUGAGAGCCGGGUGUGCCCGAAAUGGAACGGGAACACAGGUGCUGCAUGGCUGUCGU